GGAAAACCUGUAUGCCUAGUUUUUCUUAUAUAUAUAUAUAUUGUCUUCUCCUCUCUUCUCCUCUUGCUGUCUGCUACUAUAUUACCUUGAGAACUGUUCAAGGCUUCAAAAACUGAUUUCUUUUCUUUUCCUGCUCUAAUUCAAACUCUUAGCCUAAUCACUUCUUCAUAUCUUGACCCUAAUUAAUAGCUUGGUUGCUUACAUCACAUUUUCUAAAUCUGUUCCAUCUGCCUACAUCAGUCUUCCCCUUUCAUAUUAACAAAGUAAAGUUGUAUAAAAGAUAGCAAAAGGAAUACAUUCUGCAAGUGGAUAAAACAAGCUAUGGGGCCAAGGGCGCCAAACAAACCAAAAUGCAAAAAUAUCAAGUCCAUGGAAUGAUUUCCAG
rnacentral:misc_RNA from 1 species